UACGUAGGGGGCAAGCGUUAUCCGGAAUUACUGGGUGUAAAGGGAGCGUAGACGGUAGUGCAAGUCUGGAGUGAAAGGCGGGGGCCCAACCCCCGGACUGCUCUGGAAACUGUAUAACUGGAGUGCAGGAGAGGUAAGCGGAAUUCCUAGUGUAGCGGUGAAAUGCGUAGAUAUUAGGAGGAACACCAGUGGCGAAGGCGGCUUACUGGACUGUAACUGACGUUGAGGCUCGAAAGCGUG
rnacentral:rRNA from 1 species